UUAAGCAUAUCAAUAAGCGGAGGAAAAGAAACCAACAGGGAUUGCCUUAGUAACUGCGAGUGAAGCGGCAAGAGCUCAAAUUUGAAAUCUGGCACCUUCGGUGUCCGAGUUGUAAUUUGUAGAAGCAUCUUUUGGAUUGGUCCUUGCAUAUGUUCCUUGGAACAGGACAUCAUAGAGGGUGAGAAUCCCGUUCAUGGUGGGGAAUCCAAUUCUUUGUAAAGUGCUUUCGAAGAGUCGAGUUGUUUGGGAAUGCAGCUCUAAGUGGGUGGUAAAUUCCAUCUAAAGCUAAAUAUUGGCGAGAGACCGAUAGCGAACAAGUACAGUGAUGGAAAGAUGAAAAGAACUCCGAAAGGAGAGUGAAAAAGGACGUGAAAUUGUUGAAAGGGAAGUGCUUGAGAUCAGUCUUAAGGUUUAGUGAUCAGUCUUCCUUUUGGUUGGUGCACUCACUAUUUCUUAGGCCAACAUCAGUUUUCGCGGCAGGAUAAUGACAUUGGAAUGUGGCUCUUUCGGGAGUGUUAUAGCCUUUGUUGAUACUGCCUGCUUAGACUGAGGACCGCGCUUUUGCUAGGAUGUUGGCAUAAUGAUCUUAAGCAGCCC
rnacentral:rRNA from 1 species